rnacentral:sRNA from 1 species
AACAUAGUAAAAAAUUACGGAAACGAUUCACCUUAAUUAAUGUAACCUUGAGUACAUGAUUAUGGUUUUGAGCUACAUAAUUAAUACAAUGUUAAUACCCAUACGAGCCGAAAGGCUAAUUAUUAAUUAUUGUUAGGAUGUCUAGUAAAUGAAUAAGAAAACAGGCCAAGUGAAAUGGUUUAAUGAAAGUAAAGGUUUUGGUUUUAUUACCCCUGCUGAUGGAAGCAAAGAUGUAUUCGUUCAUUUUUCUGCUAUUUCAGGUGACGGUUUCAAAACCUUAGCUGAAGGGCAACAAGUUGAAUUCGCUAUCCAAGAUAGCCCUCGCGGACCAGCCGCUGCUGAAGUUGUUGUUAUCUAAUAAUUGAAGCUUAAAAAAUUCAUUUCCAUACAGCAAAACGCCCAUUCGAAAAUGGGCGUUUUUUA